rnacentral:rRNA from 1 species
AUCCUCCAAGGCUAAAUACUCCUGACUGACCGAUAGUGAACCAGUACCGUGAGGGAAAGGCGAAAAGAACCCCGGCGAGGGGAGUGAAAGAGAACCUGAAACCGUGUACGUACAAGCAGUGGGAGCCCCACCACCAAAGCGUUUCGCUUUGCGUGGUGCACAAAAUGCGUAACGGCAGCACUGAUGGCGGUUGGCGGAGCGGCAGCGACGCCCAACACACAAAUCAAGCAGUGGAGCGUUUUGGGGUGGGGUGACUGCGUACCUUUUGUAUAAUGGGUCAGCGACUUAUAUUCUGUAGCAAGGUUAACCGGAUAGGGGAGCCGCAGGGAAACCGAGUCUUAACUGGGCGAAAGAGUUGCAGGGUAUAGACCCGAA